rnacentral:rRNA from 1 species
AGUGAACGCUGGCGGUAGGCCUAACACAUGCAAGUCGAACGGCAGCACAGUAAGAGCUUGCUCUUACGGGUUGCGAGUGGCGGACGGGUGAGGAAUACAUCGGAAUCUACUUUUUCGUGGGGGAUAACGUAGGGAAACUUACGCUAGUACCGCAUACGACCUACGGGUGAAAGCAGGGGAUCUUCGGACCUUGCGCGAUUGAAUGAGCCGAUGUCGGAUUAGCUAGUUGGCGGGGUAAAGGCCCACCAAGGCGACGAUCCGUAGCUGGUCUGAGAGGAUGAUCAGCCACACUGGAAGUGAGCCAGGGUCCAGGCUCCUACGGGAGGGAGCAGUGGGGAAUAUUGGACAAUGGGCGCAAGCAUGAUCCAGCCAUAGCGCGUGGGUGACGAAGGCCUUCGGGUUGUAAAGCCCUUUUGUUGGGAAAGAAAAGCAGCAGGUUAAUACCCCGCUGUUCUGACGGUACCCAAAGAAUAAGCACCGGCUAACUUCGUG